ensembl:snRNA U6 U6 spliceosomal RNA
AUGCUCGCUUCAGCAGCACAUAUACUAAAAUUGGGACAAUACAGAGAAGAUUAGCAUGGCCCCUGCUUAAGGAUGACACACAAAUUUGUGACGUGUUCCAUACUUUU